GAUAAACGCUGGCGGCGUGCAUGAGACAUGCAAGUCGAACGAACGAGCUUGCUCGUUAGUGGCGGACGGCUGAGUAACGCGUAGGUGACCUGCCCCAAAGUGGGGGAUAACUGCCCGAAAGGGUGGCUAAUACCGCAUGUGGCGACGUCUUCAGUGACGUCAUCAAAGCCGCGAGGCGCUUCGGGAGGGGCGUGCGUCCGAUUAGCUCGUUGGUGGGGUAAUGGCUCACCAAGGCGACGAUCGGUAGGUGGUCUGAGAGGACGACUCACCCAGACUGGGACUGAGACACGGCCCAGACUCCUACGGGAGGCAGCAGUCGGGAAUUUUGCUCAAUGGGCGCAAGCCUGAAGCAGCAACGCCGCGUGAGGGAUGAAGGCCUUCGGGUUGUAAACCUCAUUUUCCAGGGACGAUGAUGACGGUACCUGAAGAAUAAGUCACGGCUAACUACGUGCCAGCAGCCGCCGUAAGAC
rnacentral:rRNA from 1 species